CUUUCCAGAGCUUCUCCCCUGAGACUGGAGAGUGGAAGAGUCUCUGAUCUCAUCAUACAGAUCCUGUCUUCUCUCCUGGCAUUGUCACUUCUCUUAUAAGACCAAGCAUCUAUACCUAUCUCCCGUGCUGGUGUCAAUGGACAGAAGGAUGCAGCAGCCUGCCUUCCCUGUUCCCGCAUUGCCAGAUCUAUACUCCUGAAUUACUUGUUGCUUUAGGAGCUGAAAAACCAGCCACAGGAAGACAAAGGCUCUGCAGUGGCUUUUAGUCUCCCAGGACAAAUCCCGAGCUGACAUCAUCUGCAAUUAUGGUGCACAAAUCCAACCACUCUGACAUAAGGUGGUAAAUUAUUCAUGGUUUGGCAACCACCAUAAAUGAAGAGCGUGCUUUAAGAAACCUCAGAACUGCCAGACUUGUUUUGUCACCACAGACCUACUCGGGCAGUGGCCUAUCUCUGAAAACAAUGCUUUGAAUUAUGGUGACAGAGCUCUAGGAUGAGAAGGCUUCAGAUUGGACUGAGACAUUCCUGGGAGAUAGAAGAGGAAGAAAUAUCUUUGUCAUCAUUGUUUUGCCCUUAUGAGGAUGAGGGACAAGCUGAGGCUGACCCAAAGGUGACAGAGGCAUCAAUCUGGCUGGUUGUUAGGAUGUGAGAAUGGGUGGAGAGGAAACCCAGCACUGCAGCCUGCUGUAGCUCUUGUAGGUCAUGCUUUCUUCCAGGAGACAUCAAUUUCUGCCUCACUAUUGCACAUCCCUAGUGCAGGCUGGAAAUAAUUGUUCAAUCCUAAAAGGCAAUACCAGUUGUGUGGUAAAAUGAAUUUUCUUUUUGCUGUUUGUCCUAUUUCUUAUACAUCUUUGCCAUAUACCAUUAUUGUCACCAUAAUGAAAAUGUAUUUAUUAACCAAGGAGCCCUGGGGAAAAUUGGCCAGGCUAUUGUCUCCUUUGUGGGAGGUGUAUCUUGUUACCCAGAGAAAACCCUUUUGCAUCAAUUACUCUAUUGAUUUACUCUGUUCAUUAAAGGCCUUUUUUACUCACAAUCAGCCACGUUAUCUAGACAUAAAGUAGAGACUGGAAUAAAUUUUUCAGAAAGUGUGAAACUGCAAAUGAACAUAUACUCAUGGAUCUUCACAGCCAGUAGGGACCAUUAUGAGCUUCUAGCUUGACCUCUUGUGUGGCUGAGGGCAGGGAAUAUGAGCAAGUAACUCAUCUGUGUGGUAUUAAAGAAACGUGUUCUUUGGAAAAUGCAUUUUAACUAGUCAUUGCUCAGGGACUAUGUGUUUAUUAGACUGCCCUUAUGCAAGCUGAAAAUUUAGCUUUUCUCCCUCUUUUCCAGUUCCAGUCCUUAAAUUUCUUCCACAUCCAUUUACCUGGCUGUGCUGGUGGCUCUGGGUAAUGCCAGAGAGACCCUGGCAGCCAGACAUGAUAGUGUGUGCUCAGGCAUCUGUUUGGAUUGAACCCAACUUCUUGUCAUGUGGAAGCCAGGGAACAGAGGGAGGAAUCGCAUGGUAAAGAAUUAAAUGACCCUUGC